GUGGACUCAGCUAACAUAUACAUAGCCAUAUGCAAAUAAACUGCAUAAUCCACAUCCAUGCAAGUUUUUUUUUUUCAAUCUUACCCAUCUCUGCAUCAGAUUAGAGUAAUAAUUUGAGUAAACAAAUGACACCUUCACUUAUCUACAUGAUUAUAUCCUUUCCUUUGAAUUUAAAAUACUAAUAAAAAUAUAUAAUG